UUUAAAUAUUUUUGAGCUCUUCCAAGGGGAGUUUUUGGGCUUGAGACCAAUUCAUAUUCCUCUUUGAGGACAUUGAUGACAUUGUUGUCAUCUUCUGAGUUUGUGUUUUUCUUUUAUUUCUUUUAUGCUUUUUUAUUUUUGCUCAUUUUUAAGCCUAUUUCAUGACUUUUAAAGUUUAGCUCUUCUCCUGUGGUACAGGGGGAAUAAUCCCAAACUUCUUGCCAUGGGGGGCAUAGGGUUAGGUCAAGUACCACCAAAGGGGGCAAGCACUAUGCAGGGGCCUCUGGGGCUGGCAGCUUGCCCAAAGGGCUGGGAUAGCCUAGCCUAAUCAAGCCUAUUGUACUUGAUUGGUUCUAGGGAUGGCUAUUUGCCUGAUGUGCUGGGGCUGGAAGCCAAGACCCCAGGAUCUUGGUCACUGAUCCAUGCUGUGGCUAAGAGCCUGGUGAUACCACCUGAAUGGGCUGUGCUCCCUUUUUGCUCAAGUGAGACAGACUAUGGUCUCUGGUUUGAACAUUGUUUCACCCAAUCUUUUGGUGGGUUCUUUUGCUUCAGAAUUUGUUUAGUGGCUUGAUUAAACAUUGUUUUUAGAGAAAUUGUGGAGAGCCCAGGAACUUCCUGGCUUUUCUCUGCCAUCUUGGUUCUACUUCUGUCUCUUAACUUAAGUAACAAUAACUCUAAACACUGCAAGAGUGAAUUUUAAAUUUGCUGUUGUGGUGGCUCUGGGUUCAAGAAUGUCAGAAGUCCUCUACUCAUUAUCUUUACUAUCUAUGGAAGUCCAGCUUUUUCUGAGGUUCUGACUCAUCCCUACCUGGGGAGAUAAGUAUCAUGAGAUACUUUUGUUUUAAAACAAAGUUCCCUGUAAUAACUGGUUGCAAGCUCAGAAUAAGGGUUGGUUUUCUCCUGUGGGCAUUCUUUUAACAUUUCAAGAAUAGAGAAUAGGGAUAAGUUUAGGAUUGAUGCUGAUGCUAUUGAGAAACAGACAGACACAAAUACCAAGAGGCAGAGAUGAUUUUCCUUCUGUUGCAGCAUGAGGUUUAAAAUUUGGUCCUUGCCCCCUUUGGUGUUACUUGACCUAACCCUAGCAGUGAAGAUGCAACUAUUAAGAGUUCUAGCCCCAGACAUGGUCAGCAGCUCAUGAAUCUAAUGAAGGAAGUGAGAUUUCCUGUUGCUUGUUCAGAUUCCUCAGCCGUAAUCCAUCACUUUAGCAAAGAGAUUCCCUAUUGCUGAAAUGUGGGGUUCAGUGACUCAGCUCUGACUUCCUUCAGAGCAGACAGUGGCAGCAGAGCUUUCUGUACCAUUCUGUCUAUGGGUGUACAACAACAAGGAGACUUCAUCUCAGUGUUUGGAACAUAUGUAUUCCAUCAGCCAAUAACAGAGUUGAUUCUCAACCUUGUCUCUCUACUCCUUUCUGAUCAUUUUCCAGCAGAGAUCCAUGCAUUCAGUUAAAUUGAUUUUCCUGUUUCCAAAACACUAAUUAGACUUACACUCCCCAAUUCUAGCAGUCAAACUUCAUUAUUCAAGAAUUUGCAUAGGUUAGUUUCUGCUAUCUAUUACAAUAAUAGUACUAACCACAGUAGGAAUAAAGCACUAAUCUAAUUUCCCAAUAAGCAUGUCUUGCAGUAGUAAUCAGUGACAAGGUUCCUGCUCUGCCAAGCCGGAGACCAUGAUUCUCCCUGAGAGGUGGUUGCCAGGUAAGUGAAAAAAUUUCCUUCACUUAAUCAGCAGUGCACUCAUUGAAUCCAGAGGAUACUUUAGUUUCAAGUACUGGAUUGAGGAACUUAGUGGGGAACCAAGGGUAUGCUGAAGGCUGGGGGCAUUGGUGGCUUUCUUAGAGUUGUAACUGUGGCCAUUAGCUGGUUACACCCAAAUUCUGCUUGAUGUCCAAUGACCUAAUUUGUUUACCAGUUAAUUUAAUUGAUACCUGACAAAAUUAGCUUGUGACAAGGUUAUUUUUUAAAUGUUCAUCCAUGGCCUGUCCUGCCAGGGGGAAGAGGGGUAACAUAUCUUUAACUGUAGGUAAUGAACACAAGCAUGUUCUUUGCUAACUUAUACCACAUUAUAUUACUAUAAUUUUUAAAAACAGUGGAACACAAAAUGAUGGCCUAAUUCAAUAUGAAGUCACUUAUGCUAUUGCAGAAAUCUUAUUCUGACUAUAGUCCCUGAUUUCAUUUCAUGAAAGUAGGGCUUCAUGAUGCAUAUAACAAAAACUCCAAGGAUUUUUACUAUAAAAUAGGUAGACAGGGUCUGAAAUCUGAAUGGGGAACCUCUAAGUCUGCUAACAAUCAGAGCUAUGAACAUUGUAUUUAAUUUUCCCCCAACUUGUUUUUCUUGUUCUUUGUACCUUUUCAUUUCCCUGAUUCCUGCAAAUGUUGAAUAUAAUUAGGAAAAAUAGACACUUCAAGUAGAAAAAGAUUUCCCGAUCCUGGCUGGAAUCAAGGUCAACCAGGGAAUCCAUUUCUCUCUUUUCCUGUGAAUCCCUUAAGGUUAACAUUAUGCCUGCACUUCUUCAUCCUUAGGAAUGCUCCCAGGAAGCUGCACAAAUGUCCCACCAUUACCUUUGAAAAGUGAGUUUCCUUCAGGCUCUCCACCCUUUUGCUGUGAAUGCCUUAAGGAUGACAUUGUUUCUCCAUUUAUGGGUUUUAGGAUUAUUCGAAUGAAGAUUUGAGCACUCUCCUAUUUCUGGACAAAUUUAAAAUUGAAAAGCUCACUGUUAUUUCAGAAAGUGGUAUGCUUAGUCCCAGGAAUCCUCUUAUUACAUGUUGAAAAGCUCAAAGUUUCUUUUCAAAGGUGAGUGUCCAGAAUUGCAUUGGUUUCAGAAAAUUGUAUAGGUUGGUUCUGGGGAUAUAAUUCAGUGAAAACCAGAGAGUUUACCUCCUCAUGGUACUUUGAAAGAUUUACUGAGGACGACCUCUUUUCUUGGAUGGACUCAGGUGCAUGCAUAAUAAGAAAAAGAAGCCCUGCUUUGUAUGCAGCAAGCUCUACAUUUUAUGUUCCUUUUGAGCCUCAGAACCAACUGUAACACUGAUGGUUUUCUUGCUCUGAUUUUGCAGGUCAGGGAGCUGAGGAAGACUGAGGUCACAGGUCACACUCAGCACUCUUAACAUGUCUGGUCAGAGAGCUGAGGAAGAAUGAGGUCAGGUGACUUGGCCCUCUUGACAUGUCUGGUAAAUGGAUGAUUGGAGAUGGGAAGCUCAGGCUUGCUGACCCUGCAGGUCAGGAUGUGGCCUCUUAGAGAUUGGGGCCCCUGUUGGCCAGCCAGUCACUUUUCCUCCCCUGCUAUUUAUGGAUUUAUUCUUGCCCUUCUUUACUUCCCAAAAUAUCAGGGUACAUAUACCAAGAGAUAUAGUCCUUUUCAGGAACCCUUUCCUUGAAAACUGUAUAUCAGACAAGUAAGGGAAAUGAGGCGGGUGGGAGAGUGGGUUUCAAUGUCCUCAUCCAUAGACUGUGUCUGAUGUAUGCAGUGGGUCCCCUGCUUGGCUGACCCCAGAUACAGGCCAUUGGACGAUGCCAUUGGGGUUCUUUUACCUCACUCAUUUUUACCCUUCCUUGUCAUUUCCCUGCUACAUGCACCAUGGAGUGGAGUCAGCAGGACAAGAAAUUACAAUCCCUCAGGCUUCAAGUCAUUUCUGCAAUACCCUGGAAGAAGUGAUAAGUGGCCCCCUGGUUCACAAAUGUCCUCCUUUAACCACCUCUGUUCCCUUUAAAAUGAUGAUUCCCAGGAAGAGCUGAGCAGUCUUCCUCCUCUGGACAAAUUUCAGUGUGAAAACCUCCUAAUUUCUUUUCAAAGGUCAGGGAGCUGAAGAGGAGUGAGGUCACAUGACUUGACCCUCUUGACAUGUCUGUCCAUUUAUCAGAUGAAUGAAGAAAUGCUAAGACAGGGGAAGUUACCGACACCAGGGAGGACACACCUGCUGAGGAUGAUUCCCAGGAAGAGCUGAGCAGUCUUCCAUCCUGGACAAAUUUCAGUGUGAAAACCUCAGUUUCUUUUCACAGGUCAGGGAGCUGAGGAGGACUGAGGUCACAGGACUCAGCGUUCUUGACAUGACUGGUAGAGAUGGGAAGUCCAAGAAAGCUGACCCUGCAGGUCAGGAUGUGGCCUCUUGGGGAUUGGAGCCCCUGUUGGCCAGCUAGACCUCCUUCCUCCCCUGCUGCAUGUGAAAUCAUUUUGCCCUUUUUCAUUUCCCUAAAAAUUCAGGGGCCAUAUUCUUUAAAGCCACAUAUCAGACAAGUGAUUGAAAGGAGCCCAGGGGGUGGUUUUAGAAGUCUAAUGCUCUGUCUGAUGUGUACAGCGGGUCCCCUGCUUGGUUGACCCCAGAUGCAGGCCACUGGACACUACCACUGGGCUUCCUCUUCCUCACUAAUUUUUUACCCUUCCUUGUUAUUUCCCUGCUACAUGCACCAUGGAAUGGAGUCAGCAGGACAAGAAAUUACAAUCCCUCAGGCUUCAAGUCAUUUCUGCACUUCUCAUUCCAUUAUGGAAUGAGAGAGAAGAUGGAAGAUGAGAGAAAUGGCCUUCUGGUUCACAAAUAUCCUCCUGCAACCAGCUCUAUUCUCUUUGAAAUGAAUCGCUGCAAGUGCCUUGGAAUCAGAGAAGCAAAUCCACUGGAAAGAGGCCACUUCAGAGCUGCCUUGGGAAGGAGAACUCUUCUGAAAUGUCCAAGGGAAGAAAUUUCCAGGAAAUAGACAACUACAUGGAACAUCUGGGACCCAAGAUGAAAAGUGUUGAACUGAACAUUGGGAGCGGAUUACAAGGAGAAAUUAUGUUAUUUAAUAUUGAUGAUCAUUUACUGUAUUACUUUGAUCUUUUGUUACAUGGAAUUUAUAUUUACUGAGUUUUCUUGGUGACCUUGAUAAUAUGUAAACUACCCUCUAAAAUUAGUACAUGGUGAGACCUCUAAGUGGCUUAAUCUGUAACAUGCCUUAGUUUACAAAUAGAGCUUAUUUCUAUCUUCGUGGGAUACAUGAGAUUAUGAUUCUGUACCUAAGUUUAUUCAACUAUGACUGAAGGAAACAUGAGCUUACGCACUUUUAAUAAAUGCCUUUUAAUUCUC